rnacentral:misc_RNA from 1 species
GAUGAAGAACGCAGCGAAAUGCGAUACGUAAUGUGAAUUGCAGAAUUCAGUGAAUCAUCGAGUCUUUGAACGCACAUUGCGCCCCCUGGUAUUCCGGGGGGCAUGCCUGUCCGAGCGUCAUUGCUGCCCUCAAGCACGGCUUGUGUGUUGGGCCUCCGUCCUCCUCCCGGGGGACGGGCCCGAAAGGCAGCGGCGGCACCGCGUCCGGUCCUCGAGCGUAUGGGGCUUCGUCACCCGCUCUUGUAGGCCCGGUCGGCGCUUGCCGACACAUCAAUCUUUUUUCCAGGUUGACCUCGGAUCAGGUAGGGAUACCCGCUGAACUUAAGCAUAUCAAUAAGCGGAGGA